rnacentral:rRNA from 1 species
GACUCCUACGGGAGGCAGCAGCGGGGAAUAUUGGACAAUGGGCGCAAGCCUGAUCCAGCAAUGCCGCGUGUGUGAGGAAGGCCUUCGGGUUGUAAAGCACUUUUAUCAGGAACGAAAUACCACGGGUUAAUAACCUAUGGGGCUGACGGUACCUGAGGAAUAAGCACCGGCUAACUUCGUGCCAGCAGCCGCGGUAAUACGAAGGGUGCAAGCGUUAAUCGGAAUUACUGGGCGUAAAGGGUGCGUAGGCGGUUGUUUAAGUCUGUUGUGAAAUCCCCGGGCUCAACCUGGGAAUGGCAAUGGAUACUGGACAGCUAGAGUGUGUCAGAGGAUGGUGGAAUUUCCGGUGUAGCGGUGAAAUGCGUAGAGAUCGGAAGGAACAUCAGUGGCGAAGGCGGCCAUCUGGGACAACACUGACGCUGAAGCACGAAAGCGUGGGGAGCAAACAGGAUUAGAUACCCUGGUAGUCCACGCCCUAAACGAUGCGAACUGGAUGUUGGUCUCAACUCGGAGAUCAGUGUCGAAGCUAACGCGUUAAGUUCGCCGCCUGGGGAGUACGGUCGCAAGACUGAAACUCAAA